GAGUAAAAGAGCUCAGGGUCAUCAUUCUAGUUCAGAGUUCAAGCCCCAGUAUCAGCACACACAAAAAGGAAAAGAAAACAAGGAUCUUCCUGCUACUGCAACUCGUGCUUGAGCUAGCCUUAUACUCUAUCCUCCUGCCUCUGUUAUAUGAGAUCAUGGGUGUGUACCAUCACUUCCACAUAAUUGUAUAUAUUUCUAAAGGAUAAAUAGGGCCUCUUUAAAAAUAAAAAGUCAAAAAGAAGC